rnacentral:lncRNA from 1 species
UUUUUUUUUUGUUUUUGUUUGUUUUUAUUUUAUUUUUUUAUUACUCAAAUGAAUUUAUCACAUCUGUAGUUGUAUAAUGAUCAUAACAAUCCAGUUUCACAGGAUUUCCAUUCCACAACCCAAGCACAUCCCCCCACCCCCCAAACUGUCUCCUCUGGAGACCAUAAGUUUUUCAAUGUCUGUGAGUCAGCAUCUGGUCUGCAAAGAAGUUCCAUCUGUCCUUUUUUCAGAUUCCGCAUGUCAGUGAAAGCAUUUGAUGUUGGUGUCUCAUUGUAUGGCUGACUUCACUUAGCAUGCUAAUUUCUAGGUCCAUCCAUAUUGCUAAAAAUGCUGGUAUUUCAUUCUUUUUAAUGGCUGAGUAAUAUUCCAUUGUGUAUAUGUACCACAUCUCCUUGAUCCACUCCUCUGUGGAUGGACAUUUAGGUUGUUUCCACGUCUUGGCUACUGAACAUAGUGCUGCAAUGAAUAUAGGAAUACAUGUGUCUUUGUGAGUCGUGGUUUCAUGCUGGAGAGGGUGUGGAGAAAAAGGAACCCUAUUACACUGUUGGUGGGAUUGUAAUUUGGUGCAACCACUGUGGAAAACAGUAUGGAGAUUCCUCAGAAAACUAAAAAUAGAACUACCAUUUGAUCCAGCAAUCCCACGCCUGGGCAUCUAUCCCUUUCCUUUUCUAUUCUUUUCUUUUUUUUUUUUUUUAAUGGUGUGGCAUUUAGUAGUCCCUGACUAAGGGUAAAAUUGGAGCUGCAGCAAACACCAGACCCCUAACUGAGGGAGGCCAGGGAUUGAACCCGAAUCCCCACGGACAUUAUGUUGGGUUCUUAACCCAAUGAUCCCCCAUGGGCACUCCCUGUUUUAACUAUAUUUAAUCUGACCAGCUGUUUAAUGGGAGAUGAGAGUAGCCAUCAACGGUGAGCCAGGCAUUCUCAGACGAUGUCAUGCACAUCAGGAGCUAAAGAACUUCUUUGACACAAGCUCCUUUUUCUCUCAUUCACCCUCUUUUAACUCAACAGAGUAAACACGUUCAUGCCUUCACUUACACUUUUCUUCUGCCUUGGAAAUCGGAUAUUCGGCAGUCAUUGUCUCCAUUUCUCCUCCCACCCCCUCCACCCCCGCAUGCUGGGGAAUCCAUCAGCUCAAAACAAAUGGAUUUCUUGAGCCAAUAACUAUUUUCAAAGCCAAGGCAAAAAAGAAACCACUUGAAAGAUAUUCUUAGAGAGGAAAUGUAUAUGUGUAUAUGACUAGGUCAUUGCUGUACAGCCGAAAUUGGCACAACACUGUAAAUCAACUAGACUUUAAAAAGGGUUUUCUAUAUAUGGUAUCAUGUCAUCUGCAUACAGUGACAAUUUUACCUCCUAUCUUCCAGUUUGGAUACUUUUAUUUCUUUUGUUUGUCUUAUUGCUGUGGCUAGGACUUCCAAUUCUAUGUUGAAUAAAAGUGGUGAGAGUGGGCAUUCUUGUCUUGUUAUAGAUUUUAGUGGGAAGGCUUUCAGCUUUUCUCCAUUGAGUAUUGUAUUUUCUGUGGGUUUGUCAUAAAUGGCUUUUAUUAUGUUAGGGUAUGUUCCUUCUAUACCCACUCUGGUAAGAGUUUUUAUCAGGAAUGGAUGUUGGAUUUUGUCAGCUGCUUUUUCUGCAUCUCUUGAGAUGAUCAUGUGAUAUUUUACUUUUCUUUUGUUAAUGUGGUGUAUGAUGUUGAUUGAUUUGCAUAUGUUGAACCAUCCUUAUGAACCUGGGAUGAAUCCCAUUUGGUGGUGGUGUAUGAUUUUUUUAUAUGUUUUUGGAUUCCAGUUGGCUAAAAUUUUGUUGAGAAUUUUUGUGUCUGUAUUCAAAGAUGUUGGCCUACAAUUUUCUUUUUUGGUGGUAUCUUUGUCCAGUUAUGGUAUUAGGGUGAUGGUGGCUUCAUAGCAUGUCUUUGGGAUGUUACUUCUUUUUCAAUCUUUUGGAAAAGUUUAAGAAGGAUGGGUGAAUUCACAAUUUUUAAAGGUCAUACUCCAUUAAUAGUUAUUAUAAAAUACUGGCUCUAUUCCCAAUGUCGUACAAUAUAUCCUUGUAGCUUAUUUUAUGUAUAAUAGUUUAUACCUCUUAAUUCCCCCUCCCCACUGGUAACCACUAAUUUGUUCUCUAUAUCUGUGAGUCUGCUCCUUUUUUGUUUAUUCACUAGUUUGUUGUCUAUUUAAGAUUUCACAUAUAAGUGAUAUCAUACAAUAUUUGUCUUUUUCUGCAUGAUUUAUUUCACUUAUCAUAAUGCCCUCCAAGUCUAUCUGUAUUACUGCAAAUGGCACCAUUUCAUUCUUUUUCAUGCCCAAGUAUUAUUCCAUGGUAUAUAUGUAUCACACCUUCUUUAUCCAUUCAUCUGUGACUGGACACUUAAGUUGUUUCCCUAUCUUGGCAAUUGUAAAUAAUGCUGCUAUGAACAUUGGGGUACCUGUAUCUUUUCAAAUCAGUCACUUUUUAAAAUAUAUGCUAUGGAGAGGAACUGCUGGGUUAUAUGGUAGUUAUAUUUUUAGUUUUUCGAGAACCUUCCAUAUUGUUUUCCACAGUGGCUGCCUCAGUUUACAUUCCUACCUACAGUCUAUGAGGGUUUGGGUGCAUUUCUUGUCUUCACCUAGUGGCAGAGGGUUUUUGCUUUCUACUCAAGAAUCCAAGGUGUGCAUGUGUUCUGUGCCUGUCACCCAACAGCAUCUGUUCUCCACCUAUGUCCAGGAACAUUCUGGAACAUGAGUCAGCUACUCCAGGUCCUCCUUUUUCAUUCUUAAGCUCUGGUAUGUACCAUCAAGCAGGUGUCCCAGGCACCCUGACACCUCUGCAGUUUUUUUCAUGAGAAUCAGAUGGAUGCCUGUGAGAAAGAGAUGAUCAGUGCAUGUAAACUUCCCUGUAUUUGGGUCUCCAAGGAUUUCUUAGGUAUACUCUUAUUCCACAGUUGGCCUUUAAGAAUCACACUUCUGGGAAUUCCCAUUGUGGGGAAGUGGAAAUGAACCUGAUUAGUAUCCCCAAGGACAUGAGUUCAAUCCCUGGCCUUGUUCAGUGGGUUAAGGAUCUGGCACUGCCGUGAGCUGUGGUGUAGGUUGCAGUCGCAGCUUGGAUCCUCAGUUGCUGUGGCUGUGGCCAGCAACUGCAGCUCUGUUUUAACUCCUAGCCUGGAAACUUCCAUAUGCUGUAUCUGCAGCCCUAAAAAAAAAAAAAAAAAAAAAAAAAAAAA